GUGAAGACCAAGCCGUACAUCUGAAGAACUGGUUGCCUCCUGGGUAUAAAUAUCACUUCUGCACAUAUCGUUUGUGCACUACAGAAGGCAACUCACACCUGGACCACACAAGUUUUGAGGCAUCACUAAGAAUUGCAUUGACAGAAAUUUGUGAAGUAAAGGAAUGGGUGGGAAAGCUUAGUGAAUCAUCAGGAGUGAGUUGGAGCGUGGCAGUGACAAAACCAAAUAAGGGACAACGUGUACUUUAUAAGGCUCAUUACAGGUGCCAGCACAAUGUUUAUGUCCGAUCAGACACGGCUAAUCAAAGGCGGCUUUCAAAAAAUACAUGCUGCGAGGCAAAAAUGCUUUGCACUCUGGUGAAGACUACAGACAAAAGGGGAGGAACUAGUAGGAGCAUUGAUCCCCAUAUACCUACUUACCCAACUUCGGUGCGUUUGUACAAUGUACACAAUCAUAACAUCUUUGUUGCGGAGGCACUGAGGCACAAGGAUGUAGGGGUCAAGGCAAUUGAAACCCUGACACAGUUGUUUGAGGUUGGGCACAGUCCAACCUCAGCUCUGGCUGUAGUUAAAAGUGACCUG